rnacentral:rRNA from 1 species
AACUCGGCAAAAUGACCCCGUAACUUAGGGAUAAGGGGUGCCACCAUCAGGUGGCCGCAGAGAAUAGGCCCAAGCGACUGUUUACCAAAAACAUAGGUUUCUGCUAAGUCGCAAGACGAUGUAUAGGAGCUGACGCCUGCCCGGUGCUGGAAGGUUAAGGGGAUCUGUUAGAGCAAUCGAAGCAGUGAACUUAAGCCCCAGUAAACGGCGGCCGUAACUAUAACGGUCCUAAGGUAGCGAAAUUCCUUGUCGGGUAAGUUCCGACCCGCACGAAAGGCGUAACGAUUUGGGCACUGUCUCAACAACAGACUCGGUGAAAUUGUAAUUCCGGUGAAGAUGCCGGAUACCUGCGACAGGACGGAAAGACCCCAUGGAGCUUUACUGUAGCUUGACAUUGGGUCUUGGUACUACAUGUACAGGAUAGGUGGGAGGCUUUGAAACCAGGACGCCAGUUUUGGCGGAGCCAUCCUUGGGAUACCACCCUUGUAGUACUGGGACUCUAACCAUAGGCCAUGAAUCUGGUCUUGGGACACUGUCAGGUGGGCAGUUUGACUGGGGCGGUCGCCUCCCAAAAGGUAACGGAGGCGCUCAAAGGUUCUCUCAGUACGGUCGGAAAUCGUACGUAGAGUGUAAAGGCAAAAGAGAGCUUGAUUGCAAGACAUACAGGUCGAGCAAGGAUGAAAAUCGGACUUAGUGAUCCGGUGGUUCUGCGUGGAAGGGCCAUCGCUCAACGGAUAAAAGCUACCCUGGGGAUAACAGGCUUAUCUCCCCC